AUACGGAGGAUCCGAGCGUUAUCCGGAUUUAUUGGGUUUAAAGGGUGCGCAGGCGGGAGAUUAAGUCGGCGGUGAAAUUUUGCAGCUCAACUGUAAAAGUGCCUUCGAAACUGGUUUCCUUGAGUGUAGAUGAAGUAGGCGGAAUUUGUGGUGUAGCGGUGAAAUGCAUAGAUAUCACGAGGAACUCCGAUUGCGCAGGCAGCUUACUAAACUACUACUGACGCUCAGGCACGAAGGCGUGGGGAUCAAAUAGGAUUAGAUACCCUGGUAGUCUACGCAGUAAACGAUGAUUACUAGCUGUUUGCGAUACAAUGUAAGCGGCUGAGCGAAAGCGUUAAGUAAUCCACCUGGGGAGUACGUUCGCAAGAAUGAAACUCAAAGGAAUUGACGGGG
rnacentral:rRNA from 1 species